rnacentral:rRNA from 1 species
ACUCCUACGGGAGGCAGCAGUGGGGAAUAUUGCACAAUGGGCGCAAGCCUGAUGCAGCCAUGCCGCGUGUAUGAAGAAGGCCUUCGGGUUGUAAAGUACUUUCAGCGGGGAGGAAGGCAAUACGGUUAAUAACCGUGUUGAUUGACGUUACCCGCAGAAGAAGCACCGGCUAACUCCGUGCCAGCAGCCGCGGUAAUACGGAGGGUGCAAGCGUUAAUCGGAAUUACUGGGCGUAAAGCGCACGCAGGCGGUCUGUCAAGUCGGAUGUGAAAUCCCCGGGCUCAACCUGGGAACUGCAUUCGAAACUGGCAGGCUUGAGUCUUGUAGAGGGGGGUAGAAUUCCAGGUGUAGCGGUGAAAUGCGUAGAGAUCUGGAGGAAUACCGGUGGCGAAGGCGGCCCCCUGGACAAAGACUGACGCUCAGGUGCGAAAGCGUGGGGAGCAAACAGGAUUAGAUACCCCUGUAGUCCC